rnacentral:rRNA from 1 species
UACGAAGGAUCCUAGCGUUGUCCGGAAUUAUUGGGCGUAAAGGGCGCGUAGGCGGCCUGGCAAGUGGAUGGUGAAAUCCCUCGGCUUAACCGAGGAACUGCCAUCCAGACUGCUUGGCUUGAGACCGGGAGAGGUGAGUGGAAUUCCCAGUGUAGCGGUGAAAUGCGUAGAUAUUGGGAGGAACACCAGUGGCGAAGGCGGCUCACUGGACCGGUACUGACGCUGAGGCGCGAAAGCGUGGGGAGCAAACGGG